rnacentral:tRNA from 1 species
CGAGCAAGUCGCUAUGGUGAAAUCGGUAGACACGCUGCUCUUAGGAAGCAGUGCUAGAGCAUCUCGGUUCGAUUCCGAGUGGCGGCAUGCCAUCUUCU